AGAGUUUGAUCCUGGCUCAGGAUGAACGCUAGCGGCAGGCUUAACACAUGCAAGUCGAGGGGCAGCGCGGGGCGGCAACGUCCUGGCGGCGACCGGCGGAAGGGUGCGUAACGCGUGAGCGACAUGCCCGUUGCCCGGGGACAACCGGUGGAAACGCCGACUAAUCCCCGAUGGGAUACGAUGCUUCAUGGCAUUGUAUUGAAAGUUACGGCGGCGACGGAUUGGCUCGCGUCCGAUUAGCUUGUUGGCGGGGUAACGGCCCACCAAGGCUACGAUCGGUAGGGGUUCUGAGAGGAAGGCCCCCCACAAUGGGACUGAGACACGGCCCAUACUCCUACGGGAGGCAGCAGUGAGGAAUAUUGGUCAAUGGGCGGAAGCCUGAACCAGCCAUGCCGCGUGCGGGAAGGAGGCCCUAUGGGCUGUGAACCGCUUUUGCCUGGGGGCAAUAAGGGCGUCGCGCACGUCCGAUGAGAGUACCAGGCGAAUAAGCAUCGGCUAACUCCGUGCCAGCAGCCGCGGUAAUACGGGGGAUGCGAGCGUUAUCCGGAUUCAUUGGGUUUAAAGGGUGCGUAGGCUGUGCGUCAAGUCGGGGGUGAAAUUCCGGUGCUCAACACCGGGGCUGCCCUUGAUACUGUCGCGCUGGAGUGCGGAUGCCGCCGGAGGAAUGAGUGGUGUAGCGGUGAAAUGCUUAGAUAUCACUCAGAACACCGAUUGCGAAGGCAUCUGGCGAAUCCGUAACUGACGCUGAGGCACGAAAGCGUGGGGAUAGAACAGGAUUAGAUACCCUGGUAUUCCACGCCGUAAACGAUGAUGGCUAACCGCCGGCGACACACUGUCGGUGGCCAAGCGAAAGCGAUAAGCCAUCCACCUGGGGAGUACGUCGGCAACGAUGAAACUCAAAGGAAUUGACGGGGGCCCGCACAAGCGGAGGAACAUGUGGUUUAAUUCGAUGAUACGCGAGGAACCUUACCCGGGCUUGAACUGCAACCGGACCGGAGAUGAUGAGCGGCGUGCGGGCGUCGUCGAUAAGCACUGAGUCGACCUCAUCGACG
rnacentral:rRNA from 1 species